UGGUGGUGCCUGGGUUUGCUGUGCACUCCUGCCUCUUCCUCUACCUGGGGAGCUGGGGGCUUCUCAGGUUUGCGUGGACCAAUGGAGCUGUCAUUAGUGCCUUGUUGAGCCCAUGCACCACACCAGUUACUGGGAGGAAAUAAUUCCAGCCCAAACCAGGAUGGAGUGUUGCCUGAGAACUGAAGCUGGAACUGCUGGUGAGGAGGAGAACUGUGAAGUAGACUUGGUGCCAUGACUACAUCCCUGGAGAGCCUGUUUGAGUGUGUAACAACCCUCUUGGUGAAGAACCUGUUCCUGAUGUCCAGCCUGAACCUCCCCAGUUGCAGCUUGAUGAUGUUCUUGCGAGUCCUAUCACUGGUCACUAAAGAGAAGAGUUUUGCCUGCCCUUCCACUCACCCUCAGGAGGAAGCUGAUUGCGGGGAUGAAGCUUGCUUUCACUGUAGAAGAGAAGAUCUCACAGAGUUGGAGAUGGCAAUGUCCUCCAAUUUCCAGUCCCAAGAAAUGGAUUCUAACCUGUAGAUCCUACCCACUCUCGUGGACUCCUGAAGUGCCCUGGUUCUGGCAGUGGGAAGACCCUGUCCACACUCAGCUGCACAGAGGGGGACCCCAGACAAGUUCUCCCCUGAAGACUGGUUCUGAGCCUUGGGGGAAUCCCAGGGGUGAGUUGCCCAUACUGUUGUCCUUAGGCAUUUGUCUGGGCCCCAGCCAGGGCUCAUCCAGUGUCAGCCACGUGUGGCUUCCACGGCAUUAUGCGAUCCCCUUCCAGCCUCUGCAGCCCCUUUCCAGGGGAGCCUAGCACAACAUGGAGAGAAAAACUUUGUUGUCUCUGCUUGCUUACAGCUCUGCCUACAGGCCACCCAUCUCGGCGGUACAGUUUUCUUAAGCAUCCAGGCUUUUCCAGGGAUUUGUCCAGCAAUGUUGGCUCUGCAUCUUCUCUACAGGAUAGCGGUAUGGAGAAAGGGAAAAACUGCAUGGGUAAGGCAUGCAUAUUCAUUCCCAGAGACGCUGCUGGAGCUAGCCCUCAUUCAGCCUCUCUGUCAUGAGAGGGCUCUUGCUCAGGAGGACUGUACCUGGUCAUCCUUUUCUUCUGGUGCUAAUGCAUGAGAAUGAGGGAAAGCAACCAAGUGAAGAUAACUGCUCGGACUUGCCAAAGACAUUGUGAGACUGUCGGUGGUACAGAACUUGUAAAAGUGUAUGACUACCCAUUUCCUCCAGGGGCUGGUGGUGAAAAAAAUGCAGAGGCUUUGGAUCACAAAUGGAUGCCAGAGCACACUGCAGUUGUGGUGCUGGCCAUCCUUGUGUGUCUGUUCCUUCUGGCAGCUUUGGGCUACUCAGUGAAAUGGUUGCUGAAGAGGAGACAACGGUGAGUGGGUUUUCCCAGCAGUCUUUGCUAGAUUGCUGCUCUGUGCAGGGAAGUGUUUCUAGCGAGAACAUCAUGGAGCAUAGGGAGCUCUGGGCAGCUCUUUGCUGAGAUUUCUGCUAAGAGACUUCUUUACCGUUAAUCUGUCAAUUCUUAUUAACAUGUUUUCUUUUUGAAAACGCUUCUGUUCUGUCACAGAGAACCACUGCUGGGUGAAUCUUACUUUCCUUUGCGGAGUAAAGAUCCAGACGAUGUGGAAAAAGAAAGAAAAAUGGAGGAAAUUGCUAAAGAGAUCGAAAGUCUGCCUGAGGGACCAUGCACAUUACUAAGACCUCCACCAAAUGCCCUGCAUGAGAAUUAAAUGUCUGUGUGCAGACAAAACAUUACACUAAUCUUGCAUGUUCAAAAGUGAUUCUGGAGCCAUUUCAGAGGUACAACAGUGGGGGUUGUGUGAGAAACAAGGUAGUGUUUUUGCACUAGAAGUCAUUUUUGCAGUGGAAAAUCCACUAACCAUGCACAUUUGAAAGUGACUGUGCAGGCAUGACAGUACCACAGCCAUGGGGACUAUGUUAAGCAGGUAACGAGGAAGGUCCCAUUGUCACAAAUAAGGAGGAUAGCUAAGAAAAACAGAAUGAGCAGUACGAAAUCAGUGAAAACAAAAAU